UGUUUGGGGACCCUUGACAGGGGAGGGGAUGUUGAGAGGGAAGCGGAUGGGCUUCCUGAGGAGGACGUACCCAGCACAUCUCAUGGCUGCUGGAGCUCAGUACUUUGGAGAAGCUUGGGGAAAGGGACGCACACUCACCAGAAUGAUCCCGCCUGGAGGGUGGUGACAGGGACGUGGUGUUCAUGUGACAACUCUUGUCUGCUGUUGGUGGGAGGCUAUUUCGGGGAGUGUUAACUUAUUGACGCUUCUGGAAUGUUAAGGGUGGGUGGGGGACAAAAUCAAGGCAGAAGAGGUAAGGGCAGAGGGUCAGGAAGACAAUAAACAGCAUCCAUUCCAAGUGCAGAGAUACUUCUCAAAGAAAGAUGGGAGAGAUCAUUCUCUCUGUAGAUGAGAAUGACUGUGCAUGCUGUGUGCCUGCAGGUGUGUGCGCAGGUGUGUGUGUACGGGCGGGGGAAUUGCUGGAAUGAUACACUUGAUAGGCAAGAAAGGAAGGGAUGCAGAGCCCAGGGGAGGACUGGCCCCGGAUGCUGCGUGGAGAGCCACCUGCAGGAGCCGGUGGGAACCCAGCAUGUGGGGUGAUGAUGGGUGGUGGGAAGGUGGACCCCUUCUCUUCUGAUGACUUCAGUGAAAUCACGAACUGAGACUGGGCUUUGGGUGGGAGUGGGAGGCUUGCCAAGGAGAAAGGUCAAAACGCCUGUCCAUCACGGGGGCCGGCCAGGCACCUGGGUCAAGCACUGUGACUUCUAGGCAGCUCAAUGGCCCGACUUCUGGGAACAGCCUGUGAGCCACUUUCAGAGGCCCCUGAAUACGUGGUUAGAUAUGAAGGGCUGUUUUCUGUGCCUGGGAGCCAGGGAGGCUGCAGUUGAACUGAGGAGUGACAAUG
rnacentral:lncRNA from 1 species